ensembl:lncRNA
AUAUGGAAGUUCCCAGGCUGGAGUCAUCAGAGCUACAGCUGCUGACUUAUGCCACAGCUCAGAGCAACGCUGGAUCCUUAACCCACUGAGCAAGGCCAGGGAUCAAACAUGUAUCCUCAUGGAUACUAGUUGGGUUUGUCUCUGCUGAGCCACAACAGGAACUCCUACGGCAGUCUUGAAACAUUCUGCUUAGGACAAGUUUGCCCUAAGGUGUACCUCCCACCCUCCCCCACACCCACUUAGUGUGUCCCCAGAGGGCCCUCUUCACUGUACGGUUUUGUCACUGUAUUUCUUAUCUUUGCUUUUGUAAAUUUAGCUUUUUGCUUAUCAACAGCUUAUUUGCAUUUCUGGUCCACAAGAAGUAGUAUUAAAAUAUUUUUUUAAAGUCACAAUAUAGGCGUUCCUGUUGUGGCUCAGCAGUAACCAACCUGACUAGUAUCCACGUGGGUUCGAUACCUGGUUUUGCUCAGUGGGUUAAGGAUCUGGCAUUGCUGUGAGCUGUGGUAUAGGUUGCAGAUGCAGCUCAGACCUAACAUUGCUGUGGCUGUAGUGUAGGCUGGCAGCUGCAGCUCUGAUUUGACCCCAGCCUGGGAAAUUCCAUAUGCCACAGGUGCGGCCCUAACAAAAGAAAAAAAAAAAAUCACAAGAGAUGAAGGUGGUCGAGUGAGAAAAUGAUAGAAAGAGGAGUUUCCCUAAACUAAUCAAAUACAGGGAUUAGGAAGGUUCAUAAGUUAUACUGAUCCAAAACUCUAAAAACAGCUGUGGGAGAAAAAAGGGGAAACACGGAAAGAGGGAAGAACUAGCCCUCAGGAUCAUCGUGGAUGACGGAUGACCACAUACUUGGAGCUAGGAAGGACCAAAACCAUCCUCUGGCCCAGCUCCUCCUUCUAACUGAUGAGGAAGCCAGAAGGAAGUGUGCCUUGGCUGGGUCAGAUACCUGGCUGAUACUGGUGAUGUGAUCAGAAAGAAGCCAGCAUGUCUAACUUCAAGUUCAACCUCCCUCUUUAUAACUAUAGGCAGAAUCCUUAACUAGAAGCUCAUCAAUAGGUUUUAGAGCAUCUAGGGACACGCUGAUGUAUCCUUAAAAUUCUGCGUUUGCUUGCUCAGAUUUAUUUUUCUAGGGAGAGGGUGCCUGACUUCUAAAGGCUUCUCUGACUCUUGACCCAUGAUUCAAAAUUAGUUAAACCUACCAGGUUAUGUUUAUUGAAGAAUAAGUCAGGUUGCAGGCUCUUAAAAGUGCAUUUGAAGAUGUCAACCAUUUUUGCUAAGAAUCCAAGUGAUAACUAGUCUUUGCUAAAAGUACACACAGAGAUUUGUUUACUUAUACUCAAUUCUGUGACAACUCUCUCUUCAAAUUAUAAACUAUUAUUUUCAAAUGGUCCCCCAAAGCCUGAGGUCAGAAUAAGGUCAGAAGAUCUAACAAAUAGGUCAAACAUCAAAUUGCAUUUCACUGGGUUGAAAUUUAAAUUUAAAAAGAAAUGGUCGUUCUUCGAGUGACUUACUCUAAUCUUCUGCGGAACAGUAUAUUCAACCGAUUCAGUUCUAUUCUAGAUGAGUGUCUUGUUUGUUUUUUUCCUUUUUCUUUGUCCGUGAGACUGGAGUUUGCGAUAUUACUCGUCACUCCCGCUCAUGCAGAAUUGUAGCUAAUACAUCGAAAGUGCAGCACUGCUUCACCCAGUUUUUAAUGAAAAGAUCCUGUAUAUGAGUUAAACUGGCCCUUUGGGACAAUUACCAAACAUACAGUGAGCGUGAAGCGUGAAGUGAGUUACACGCACUUUCUGAGAUACAUGGUGACUUGUACUUUUUGCAUGCGUUUAAAACAUAUGUUUAGUACAUUUGGAAUGUGGAGUUCGUAGGGUGUGUUUAUCUGCAUGAAUGUGUGUGUGUGUGUGUGUGUGCGCGCGCGAGCAUGUGUGUGGGGUUAGAGAUGAAUUGGGAUUUCAAACUCCGAUCACUCCACGGCUCUCUAAAAUAGAGGGUGCACAGAAAUGCUCGCUUUAGAGUUAAAAUCCCUCCCCGGAUGACACUGACAGAUUCGUAUAUGAAAUUCAGUGACUUUCCCACAGGCUUCCUCACCCACCCGAUGUGCCAAUUCGUACCAAGGACAAACAAAGGAUAACAUAAUUGGCUUUGUGAGCCAGGUGGAUUAGAAGUCCUCUACUGAAGUCUUUUCUAGAAGGCAGGUUUGACGGAUCAGCAGCACUUGUGCACGAGCCUUAGAAUCACAUACUCGCCACACCAGAUACACUGAAUUACACAUUCUGAGGUGGCACGCAGCACUCAGGUUCAAUACACCCUCCGAGUAAGUCCAGUGGUCCCUCGAGAUCCAGUGACCUAAAAGGAUUUGCUCCUGGCUCAGAUUCAACCCUCAGGUUUGCGGGCACAGAGGCUGGGCUCUAUGACAUGGCUGACUUGAGGCAACAGAUCAUCCUUGGUGAGACUGGUCCAAACUAUAACCACAUGUAUAAACCAAACUGGCAGUUUUAAAAUUAAUAGUGGCAAUGGAGGUAUUCCUCUCCGGAGCCAGGAAGGCUCACUUUCUAUGCUGAAGUCCCUGUUUUUUGAACGCAGAAGCUCAACAAUUCAUAUCAAGACUUACAAUGCCAUCUGGUGAGCAAGGAGUUAGAAAAAAUUAAGAAAUAGGACUUUUCAUCCUUUUGACUAUUAGCAGGACAUUCAAGUCCCUCUAGUUUAGCAUCUCCUCUGCCCAAAUUUGCUUUUUUGAAUGCUUUAAAAAAAAAAAAAACUUGACCUAUCCAUGUCUGCUAAUAUUUUUUUCUAUAAAUGUAUUUUAAUGAUUAGAGCUAGGUAGUUUUUCUACAUAUAAGUACCUAAAUCUCUAAAAUAAGGAAAUAUUCUGUGUCAAUUUAUUACUAUAACAACCAGAAAACUACCUUUUCUCCUUUACUCCUCGUCAUUAUAGAAAAAGUGUGUCUGGACUGUAAGAACCCAUUUUCCAUAUAGCUAUGUUCCCCUAAAUAUUAACUAUAUGGAAAAUGGGUUCCAAAAGCCCAGGCAUCAAAUACAGAGAAAUUUUAUUAAUUGCCUAAACUACAACUCUUUUGGAAGUGGAAAGGGGCUAUUUAUGAUUAUGCUGGGUCAACAGAGACUGUCCAGGGCUAAUUGGACAGUGAGAUUUAAACAAUGAUCCUGGUUGACUGUAACCUCUAUUUCUUUCUCGGUUUCUUGCGACUUCCUUGAAUAACGUCCAAAAGGAUGAGGUAGAAAUUUUAAAACAGUAUUUCAACAAUUAUUUAACAAUUUUUUGUGUGCUUUUUUUUUUAGGGCCGUGCCUGUGGCACAUGGAAGUUCCCAGAUUAUUGAUCAAACUGGAGCUACAGCCGCCAGCCUAGGACACAGCCACAGCAACGCCGGAUCUGAGCCAUAUCUGUGACCUCAUCACAGCUCACGACAAUGCCAGAACCUUAACCCAGUGAGCAAGGCCGGGGAUCGAAUCCCCAUCCUUAUGGAUGCUAGUCGGAUUUUUUCUGCUGAGCCACAGCGUGACCUCCAGCAACAAUUUUUAUUCUGCCGUAGAAUGGGACAUCUACAGUCCUCGUUCUAUUUCAAAAGGAAUGCUAACUUUCUCAUCCAGAAGUUAUCCGCUCUGGUUAUUUAUCAAAAUUGCCCGUGAAGCUUUUUAAAAAUGCCAUUGACCCUCUGGAAUUCCGAAUGAAGAGCCAGGGGUUGAAAACCAGGAAACAUAUAGCCUCUUGAAAGUAGUUCCAGGGUUUAACCUCAUGGAGUGGCAAAAACGCUUAGUUUCUGCACAAUUUCCAUUGCUUCUUUGGCAAAGAAGCAGUCAUCCUGUCAAUGACUCAUGACAGUCAUUCUCUUAAAAAAUGAAGUUCCUGACGUCAAGUUCCCCUAAAACCCUUUGUGACAUGCUUAUUUGGUAGAAGCUGAGCCUUGAGAAAAAUGGGAGCUAAUGUGACAGCGGCCUAAGGAGGAUGGGUUUGUGAGGUGGCACCUGAGGGAAUGCUAAGCCCUGUAAACAGCAGCAUCACGUAGGGAAGGGCAAAAGGGCAGUGGCAAAAGGAGAACAUUCCUAAGGGGUCCCCUGGGGCCCCGAAGGACAGAGAUCCCUAGGGUAGAGCUUUGAAGGAGAACCACUAACAAGAAGAUAUCUGACCUUAGCACUUGGUGACAUUAAGAUCCGAGUAAUUAAUUGCCUGACUCAGACAAACUUCCAAGAGGCUUAAAAUUAUGUUUGGAAGAGGAUGAUGGAGGGAAAAUGAAACAAAUGAAAAAGAUGCACCUGAUACAAAUCGAUACUACUUAACUGUUAAUCUCUGUGGAGCAGAUACUGAGGGUCACAGAAGCGGAAAGUGUUGGGAAGAGCUGAAACCGAGGAAAGCUUUAAAGGAGAGGCAUGGAUUUGAUAUAUUUUAAGUACAAUUAAUUGUUGCCCAGCCCGUUGGAUUUCUAUGGCAUAAAUACAUCAACUCUACAGCACAGCAUAUGUGGUGAUUCACAAUCCGGGCCCAGCCAAUUUUUCAAUAAUUAUACCUGUAGGCAUUUUCUCUCUUUCUCCUCACCUGCCAACCCACCUAGGUGUUCUGUGGUUUACUUAGACCAUUUUUGAAAAACAAGUCAUGCACUUUUAUUGCAUCAUUUCUUUGCUCUUGCUGCACCCUCUGCUUAGAAUGCACAACCAGGGCCAAGUGCCUGGUCAAUUUCCUUUCAUAUUUCAAGACCCAGUUCAAAUACCACCUCCCAAGAAAAGUCUUCUUUGCCCGCAUCUAGGUAACAUUAAUCACUCCCACCUGUUUUGCCCUAGCAUUUUCAACAUAUGCAGCUGGAUUUUAGCACAAUUAAUGCGAUGCCAUAGUUAACUACUUAAUGCAUCUCUCUUCCCUAGACGGAGAGCUUGGUGUUCAGCGGCUGUGUCUUAUUCAUAUUUUUAUUCCCAUUGCCUGGCUUAGCUAGUGGGCACUCUAUGUAUUUAUUAAAUAUAUAGAAUCAAAAAACUUUUUAUAUAAGCCAUGGCAUUUAUAACAUCUUUAAUACAAAAUAUAAACUUAAAAAUAUUUCUAAAAUUCAUUAAAAGUGGUUUUUACAGCUUAUAUUAAUUUCAGCCCCAAAUUCUAUGCAGUGAAACUGCAGAAUGAGGCAAAAAUCUCCUUGACUGACCGUGGCAUGGAAUGUGCAAGAUUGUUUAUUCUUCUUCUUUUCUUUUUUUUUAAAAAGAAGAGUUAUACGCUCCAAAGAAGAGCUUAUUAAUUUCAUAUAGUCAUCAUGCAUUCUUUCAUUAAGAAUAACCUCUUAUAUUUUCAUUUAAGUAUAACUCAAUACUCAACAUCUGGAAAAUAUCCAGUAAUAUGGAAUUUGUAAACAAAUAUUUACUUUUAUAAAGGCUCUGCAUCUUGGGAAAACAAACCAAGUUGAGGGUCUAAUAUUGAGAACAUUUAAAAAACAAUAGCAUAUGCCUAGAUACAUUUGGGUAUCUGUGCAUCAGUGAAUUUUGAAAUAAGAUGUAUAUCACAUAAUGCAAAAUUACCAACCAAGCUGUUAAA